rnacentral:rRNA from 1 species
CUAAGGCCAACGGGAGAAGGGUUGUUAAGGAACUCGGCAAAUUGACCCCGUAACUUCGGGAGAAGGGGUGCUCCAGAGAUGGAGCCGCAGAGAAUCGGCCCAAGCAACUGUUUACCAAAAACACAGGUUUGUGCUAAAUCGAAAGAUGACGUAUACGAGCUGACGCCUGCCCGGUGCUGGAAGGUUAAGAGGAGAUGUGCAAGCAUUGAAUCGAAGCCCCAGUGAACGGCGGCCGUAACUAUAACGGUCCUAAGGUAGCGAAAUUCCUUGUCAGGUAAGUUCUGACCCGCAUGAAAGGCGUAAUGAUUUGGGCACUGUCUCAACAGCCCGCCCGGCGAAAUUGUAGUACCGGUGAAGAUGCCGGUUACCCGCGACAAGACGGAAAGACCCCAUGGAGCUUUACUGUAGCCUAAUAUUGGGUUUCGAUGUUGCAUGCACAGGAUAGAUGGGACACUGGGAAGCAAGUGCUUUGGCGCUUGUGGAGUGGCCGUUGGGAUACCAUCCUUGCGAUAUUGGAAUUCUAACCUGCGCCUUUGAAUCAAGGCGGGGGACAUUGUUAGGUGGGCAGUUUGACUGGGGCGGUCGCCUCCUAAAGAGUAACGGAGGCGUUCAAAGGUUCGCUCAGCUUGAACGGAAAUCAAGCAAAAGAGUGCAAACGCAGAAGCGAGCCUAACUGCGAGACUGACGGGUCGAGCAGUAACGAAAGUUGGAGUUAGUGAUCCGGUGGUAUGUGAGUGGAAAUGCCAUCGCUCAACGGAUAAAAGUUACCCUGGGGAUAACAGGCUGAUCUCCCCCAAGAGUCCACAUCGACGGGGAGGUUUGGCACCUCGAUGUCGGCUCAUCGCAUCCUGGGGCUGUAUUCGGUCCCAAGGGUUUGGCUGUUCGCCAAUUAAAGCGGUACGCGAGCUGGGUUCAGAACGUCGUGAGACAGUUCGGUCCCUAUCUGUCGUGGGCGCAGGAUAUUUGAUGGGAGCUGUUCCUAGUACGAGAGGACCGGAGCGGACGUACCUCUGGCGCACCAGUUGUUCUGCCAAGAGCAUAGCUGGGCAACUAUGUACGGAUCGGAUAAACGCUGAAAGCAUCUAAGCGUGAAGCCGACCCAAAGAUAAGAUAUCCCAUUGUUUCAAACAAGUAAGACCCCUUGAAGACUACAAGGUUGAUAGGCACGAUGUGUAAGUGGAGUGAUCCAUUCAGCAAGCGUGUACUAAUAGGUCGAGGGCUUGACCAC